AAGGGAGAUAUUUUAAGUAGAAAAAUAUCUAUCUACAAGAGAGGGCUGGUUUCUUUACCUUCAUGAAAAAAUUUUUUCUCAAGGUUAAACUUCUUAGCUAUUAUUAAUUUAUUUGUGUAGUAUUUUUUUGGCUAAAAGAAAAAUAUUGUAUGUUGUAGUUUAGGGUUUGCACAUGACAAUUCUAGUUAAAAGUUAAAUGACUUGGACUUCCCGUGUGGCUCACAACAUAACUACUCGGCGUUGCUUCUACAGUGGCUGUGGCUCGACCCCUGGCCUGGGAACUUCCAUAUGCCACAAGUGCGGCCACUUCUUUAAAAAAAAAAAAAAAGUUAAAUGACUUUUUUUCAUGCUUGUAUAAUUCAUAUGCCUCUUCUCAUGUUAAAUGUUAUUCUAGUAAAUGAGCUAUACUUACUCUAUUCUAAAAAGUUUAAAUUUUAAUUUCAUUUGAAGUUGUAAUAUGAAGUAAACUGGUGGGUAUUUCUGAACUUCUUUGGAAAUUUAUAAGUAAUGAGAUAUUUACCAAUAAAACCAGUGCUAGAAUAUAUUGCUAAAAUAGGUAAUGUGCAGUAAAUUAAAAUCUGUUGGCCUUCUUCUUAAGAUUUAUUCUGCUGUUAAUCCUAAAAUCAGGUAGCUCUAAGUAGACCUCCAGCAAUACAAUAAUUCAUUAAUGGAUCUAUUCAGACCAACAUAUGAUUCAGCUCAGUAAGUGAGAAAUUAGAAUUUUUGCUGAAUGUCAAAGUGGAUAACUAGAAAUGGAACCAUAUGGGUAGUGAAUAUGUGUGAACUCAUUUCUCUGUUAGUUUUAGAAGGGUAAAAAGAGGAAAAUGUAAUUACUGGGCUCUUCUUUAUCCAUCCAAUGGGGAUAGAGUACAAUCUAAAAUCAUAAAAUGAAGCAUUAAUCAAAAAUAGCUUUUGUUUUUUUUUUUCACCUAUCUACUGAUUGACUGUAAAGGAAAAAUGAAAUGAUGUGAGGGCUUUUUUCCUGCUUUCCAUGUGUCUUAUGUUCCUUGAUUUAUUUAUCUUUUGUCUUUUUGUCUCUCUCUAGGGCCGCACCCGUGGCAUAUGGAGGUUCCAAGGGUAGGGGUCCGAUCGGAGCUGAAGCCACUGGCCUAUGCCACAGCCAUAACGCCAGAUUGGAGCUACAUCUGCGACACCACAGCUCACAGCAACGCGGGAUCCUUAACCCAUCACCGAGCAAGGCCAGGGAUCUAACCGCAACCUCAUGCUUCCUAGUUGGAUUCGUUUUGGCUGUGCCAUGAUGGGAACUCCAUACACAUUCUUUUUAUAUUCUUUUCCAUUAUGGUUUAUCACAGGAUAUAGAAUAUAGUUCCCUAUGCUAUAUAAUAGGACCUUUUUGUUUAUCCACUUCUCAUACAAUAGUUUGCAUCUGUUAAUGCCAAAUUCCGGAUUCAUCCUUCCCCCACACCCCUCCAUCUUGGCAACCACAAGUUUGUUCUCUAUAUCUGUGAAUCUGCUUCUGCUUCAUAGAUAAGCUAAAUUUGAUAUUUAAAGCAUAAAAACUUUUGUUCAUUAUGAACCUAUGCACAUUUGAGUGAUAUGUCGUGUACAAAUUCUCCCUAAUGAAAAUGUUAAGUUUCUCAUUCCUGACUAGAUAUGUAAGAUACUCAUUACCACAUAUUUGUAGACCUUUACAGGCAUUUAGGAGGUCAACAGAGUCUGGCACGUUCUUAUUUUUCAGGAUGGCAAUGUAUUAAAGAAUGGAGAAAAUGACAACCAGUUAGGGAAAUGGAUGCAUUUUACAUUUUCUAUUGAACAACCAAAGUGAAAUCAUCCAUGUGGAAUUCUUUCAAUCUUUACAGUAUAUCUCUCCAUCCAUAGGUCUGAUUUCAAUUGGAGAAAGAGCAGAAGUCUGAAUUUGACAUUGUUGGUGAUGAGAGGAUUAUACACAAUGGCCCCCCAGGUCCUCCUAGGUUAUGCCUCAGAGAGACCCUAUGGAAACGUAUUCGCAGAAGCCAAAGAGGCACGUUGUUAGUCCCUGAAGCCUAGGGCUUUGCUCAGGCUCCCAUCCCCAUAUAGAAGAAAUGUACAAAUGUACAUACAUGCAGUCUGGUUUUGUGAGGAAAAACACCAAGAGAAUCCUUCCUCAGCCAGAUGCCAAGCGCUCCAGCUGCUACAGAUCUGGCUUUUGUGCUAGGUCUCCUCAUGAGCCUAACACUAGAGAGGAAAGAGCUUAGGACUGUAGAAAGUCCAAGUAAAGCCAAAACAGUCCACACCAAACAAAGAGAGAAUACAUGAGGGUUUAAAUUUUCUAAGGUGGGAGGUGACUUUCCUUAUUUGGGAAAGUUUGCAGUGGUUGUAGGAAGCCACUUUAAGGAUUUUCUAAUUUGACAUCUUUGUGCCAAAGAUGUAGGCCAAUCAAGAAUGUUCCCCUCUUACUUUAACAGUCUUAAUAAGCAGACUCUUUAAAUAUGUUACGCUUGGGUUUUUAAAUGCUGAGGUUCUUAUCAACCUCUUCUUUAUCCCUUUUAUCCCUCCCCUUGUAGCCUUGAAGUACCCAGGAAGGAUUUCUUCAUAAAUUUUCCAAAGGGGUGUGGUUUGUGGAUAGGGAAUGCCCCAUCCCCCCAUUCCAUGUUUGAUGGGUUCCGAUUGGAUGGCAGCCAGGAUGUUACAGUGACCCUGCAAAUUUUCCCUGGCUCUGCACAUCUGAAAUAUCUAGAUGCCUAAGACAUGUUGCUCACAUUUUUAAGUUACCUUUGAUGUUUAGGAUAUGGCCUUGUAAAAUUAGGUUUGGAGGUGGGGAAAGAGAGGGAGCCCUCUUGGAAGGAAAGAACAUUGUUUCCAUUGUUCUUCCAGAGCACCCCAUGAUGAACACCAGCCCCCUCUCCUCUACCCUGACAAAGAGUAGAUUUUCUCUAAUCCAAUAAAUGUGACUAGCUAGUACCUGUUGGUACCUACUCCAGUGGCAAUGGAUGGGCCCAUUCUACACUCCAAGUUCUCUCUAACUUUGUUUAUUUAGCUUAAACUGAACAAAUCUUUGUGGAUGCUCAUGGAACUUAGAAUUUUUUAACAUAGCCACCAGGCAUGGCUGCACAUGCCAGCUGAGCUCAUAACAGAUUUAUUGGCUGCAAGAUGAGGGAACAGAGGCCUGACCUCAGGGCUGAAUGCAGGAAGUAGUGAAAAAGGGCAUGCAUGCUUAUGUACUAAUUUAAGCAAGGGAAAAGAAAGAAAUCAUGUUUAAUUUUUGUCCUAGCAGAAUUGUCUGAAAUUUCAAGGCGUGUAAUUUUCUUUCAUUAACCAAUCGUUAUGUAUAGCCUGAAGAAAGUUGGAAAAAGCAUUUGGAUAUACUCACACUCUGAGU
rnacentral:lncRNA from 1 species